rnacentral:rRNA from 1 species
AUUGAACGCUGGCGGCAGGCCUAACACAUGCAAGUCGAACGGUAGCACAGAGAGCUUGCUCUCGGGUGACGAGUGGCGGACGGGUGAGUAAUGUCUGGGAAACUGCCCGAUGGAGGGGGAUAACUACUGGAAACGGUAGCUAAUACCGCAUAACGUCUUCGGACCAAAGUGGGGGACCUUCGGGCCUCACACCAUCGGAUGUGCCCAGAUGGGAUUAGCCAGUAGGUGGGGUAAUGGCUCACCUAGGCGACGAUCCCUAGCUGGUCUGAGAGGAUGACCAGCCACACUGGAACUGAGACACGGUCCAGACUCCUACGGGAGGCAGCAGUGGGGAAUAUUGCACAAUGGGCGCAAGCCUGAUGCAGCCAUGCCGCGUGUAUGAAGAAGGCCUUCGGGUUGUAAAGUACUUUCAGCGGGGAGGAAGGCGGUGAAGUUAAUAGCUUCAUCGAUUGACGUUACCCGCAGAAGAAGCACCGGCUAACUCCGUGCCAGCCGCCGCCGUAA